AAACUAACAAGGAUUCCCCUAGUAACGGCGAGUGAACCGGGAAGAGCUCAAAUUUGAAAUCUGGCGUCCUUCGGGCGUCCGAGUUGUAAUCUAUAGAAACGUUUUCCGUGCCGGACCGUGUCCAAGUCCCUUGGAACAGGGUAUCAGAGAGGGUGACAAUCCCGUACUUGACACGACGACCGGUGCUCUGUGAUACGUUCUCUACGAGUCGAGUUGUUUGGGAAUGCAGCUCAAAAUGGGUGGUAAACUCCAUCUAAAGCUAAAUAUUGGUGGGAGACCGAUAGCGAACAAGUACCGUGAGGGAAAGAUGAAAAGCACUUUGGAAAGAGAGUUAAACAGUAUGUGAAAUUGUUGAAAGGGAAACGAUUGAAGUCAGUCGUGACCGUUGGGUUCAGCCGGUUCUGCCGGUCUACUCCCUUCGGUCGGGUCAACAUCGGUUUUGACCGGCGGAUAAGGAAGGGAGGAAUGUGGCACCCUCCGGGGUGUGUUAUAGCCUCCCGUCGCAUACGUCGGUCGAGACCGAGGAACGCAGCUCGCCUUUAUGGCCGGGGUUCGCCCACGUCCGAGCUUAGGAUGUUGACAUAAUGGCUUUAAACGAC
rnacentral:rRNA from 1 species